UACGGGGGGAGCAAGCGUUGUUCGGAUUUACUGGGCGUAAAGGGCGCGUAGGCGGCCACCGCAAGUCAAUUGUGAAAUCUCCGGGCUCAACCCGGAAAGGUCAACUGAUACUGCGGGGCUAGAGUGCAGAAGGGGCAACUGGAAUUCUCGGUGUAGCGGUGAAAUGCGUAGAUAUCGAGAGGAACACCUGCGGCGAAGGCGGGUUGCUUGGCUGACACUGACGCUGACAGCGCGAAAGCUAGGGGAGCGAACGGG
rnacentral:rRNA from 1 species